rnacentral:rRNA from 1 species
UGGGGACGACGUCAAGUCAUCAUGCCCCUUAUGUCUUGGGCUGCACACGUGCUACAAUGGCCGGUACAAUGAGCUGCGAUACCGCGAGGUGGAGCGAAUCUCAAAAAGCCGGUCUCAGUUCGGAUUGGGGUCUGCAACUCGACCCCAUGAAGUUGGAGUUGCUAGUAAUCGCAGAUCAGCAUUGCUGCGGUGAAUACGUUCCCGGGCCUUGUACACACCGCCCGUCACGUCACGAAAGUCGGUAACACCCGAAGGGUGGCCCAACCCUUGUGGAGGGAGCCGUCGAAGGUGGGACUGGCGAUUGGGACGAAGUCGUAACAAGGUAGCCGUACCGGAAGGUGCGGCUGGAUCACCUCCUUUCUAA